CAGCAGCCACGGUAAUACGGAGGGGGCUAGCGUUGUUCGGAAUUACUGGGCGUAAAGCGCACGUAGGCGGCUUGGUAAGUUAGAGGUGAAAGCCUGGAGCUCAACUCCAGAAUUGCCUUUAAGACUGCCGAGCUAGCAGGUGAGAGAGGUAAGUGGAAUUCCGAGUGUAGAGGUGAAAUUCGUAGAUAUUCGGAAGAACACCAGUGGCGAAGGCGGCUUACUGGCUCAUACUGGACGCUGAGGUGCGAAAGCGUGGGGAGCAAACAGGAUUAGAUACCCGCGUAGUCCCUGUCUCUUAUAC
rnacentral:rRNA from 1 species